CAUUCAAAAUAGAGAAGCACAUUUACGUUGUCGUAUGGCGAGAUUUGCUAUCUAGGAAUACACUGGGUAUCUAACUGUAGAGAGUGUAGCCUAAACCUUUAUAUGAAGCUUGUGUUAGCCUCCCAAAACUCCUUUAUUUUAUAUAAAACUCAAAAUAUAAUAAAACCCCUUCAAAACAUAUUUUUUCCGCAAAGGGUUUUCUUGUCUUGAACUUUAGAAAAUCAUAACUCUUGAUUUAACCAUUCAAUUUGUUUCAAAUUUAUAAAAUA
rnacentral:lncRNA from 1 species